rnacentral:tRNA from 1 species
GGAGAGGUGCUGGAGUGGUCUAUCAGGAGCGCCUGCUAAGCGCUUGUCUCGGCUAAAACCGGGACCGUGGGUUCGAAUCCCACCCUCUCCGCCA